GAUGAACGCUGGCGGCGUGCCUAAUACAUGCCAGUCGAGCGAACGGACGAGGAGCUUGCUUCUCUGAUGUUAGCGGCGGACGGGUGAGUAACACGUGGAUAACCUACCUAUAAGACUGGGAUAACUUCGGGAAACCGGAGCUAAUACCGGAUGAUCUUUUGAACCGCAUGGUUCAAAAGUGAAAGACGGUCUUGCUGUCACUUAUCGAUGGAUCCGCGCUGCAUUAGCUAGUUGGGAAGGUAACGGCUUACCAGGGCAACGAUGCAUAGCCGACCUGAGAGGGUGAUAGCCGACCUGGGAGCGGAGACACGGUCCUUGCGCCUGCGGGACGCAGCAGUAGGCAAUGGGCCGCAAUGGGCGAGAGCAUGACGGAGCAACGCGGAGUCAGUGAUGAAGGUCCUCGGAUCGGAAUAAUCGGCUACGAGGUAAGAACAGAUUUGGAAGUAACUGAGCACAGCGUGACGGUACCUAGUCAGAAAGCCACGGCUAACUACGUG
rnacentral:rRNA from 1 species